rnacentral:rRNA from 1 species
UACGGAGGGUGCAAGCGUUAUCCGGAUUCACUGGGUUUAAAGGGUGUGUAGGCGGGCUAUUAAGUCAGUGGUGAAAUCUCCGGGCUCAACCCGGAAACUGCCAUUGAUACUAUUAGUCUUGAAUCUUGUUGAGGUAGGCGGAAUAUAUCAUGUAGCGGUGAAAUGCAUAGAUAUGAUAUAGAACACCGAUUGCGAAGGCAGCUUACUAAACAAGCAUUGACGCUGAGGCACGAAAGCGUGGGGAUCAAACAGG